rnacentral:rRNA from 1 species
ACGAACGCUGGCGGCGUGCUUAACCCAUGCAAGUUGAACGAGAAUUUUUCGAGUGAUUUCUUCGGAAUGAUCAUGAAAAAGGAAAGUAGCGAACGGGCGAGUAACACGUGAGAAACCUGCCUUUCACAAAGGGAUAGCCUCGGGAAACCGGGAUUAAUACCUUAUGAAACCAAACACUCGCAUGAUAGAUUGGUUAAAGAUUUAUCGGUGUUAGAUGGUCUCGCGUCUGAUUAGCUAGUUGGUGGGAUAAAAGCCUACCAAGGCAACGAUCAGUAGCCGGAUUGAGAGGUUGAACGGCCACACUGGAACUGAGACACGGUCCAGACUCCUACGGGAGGCAGCAGUGGGGAAUUUUGCACAAUGGAGGAAACUCUGAUGCAGCGACGCCGCGUGAGUGAUGAAGGUCUUCGGAUUGUAAAACUCUGUCCUUAGUGAAGAUAAUGACAGUAACUAAGAAGCAAGCCCUGGCUAAAUACGUG